AUCUUGCGCAAUCGGCGAAAGCCUGACGCAGCCACGCCGCGUGAAUGAUGAAGGUCUUAGGAUUGUAAAAUUCUUUCCCCGGGGACGAUAAUGACGGUACCCGGACAAGAAGCCCCGGCUAACUUCGUGCCAGCAGCCGCGGUAAUACGAAGGGGGCUAGCGUUGCUCGGAAUUACCGGGCGUAAAGGGCGCGUAGGCGGAUCGUUAAGUCGGGGGUGAAAUCCCGGGGCUCAACCUCGGAACUGCCCUUGAUACUGGCGAUCUUGAGUAUGAGAGGGGUAUGUGGAACUCCGAGUGUAGAGGUGAAAUUCGUAGAUAUUCGGAAGAACACCAGUGGCGAAGGCGACAUACUGGCUCAUUACUGACGCUGAGGCGCGAAAGCGUGGGGAGCAAACA
rnacentral:rRNA from 1 species